AUUGAACGCUGGCGGCAGGCCUAACACAUGCAAGUCGAGCGGAGCGGCGGACGGGUGAGUAAUGCCUAGGAAUCUGCCUGGUAGUGGGGGAUAACGUCCGGAAACGGGCGCUAAUACCGCAUACUAUCAGAUGAGCCUAGGUCGGAUUAGCUAGUUGGUGGGGUAAAGGCCUACCAAGGCGACGAUCCGUAACUGGUCUGAGAGGAUGAUCAGUCACCCUUGAGCUGAGCCCCGGUCCAGACUCCUCAGGGGGGCAGCCGGGGUGAAUAUUGGAACAUGGGCGCAAGCCUGGUCCAGCCAUGCCGCGUGUGUGAAGAAGGUCUUCGGAUUGUAAAGCACUUUAAGUUGGGAGGCGUUACCAACAGAAUAAUCACCGGCUAACUUCGUGCCAGCAGCCGCGGUAAUUC
rnacentral:rRNA from 1 species